UGGGGAAUAUUGCACAAUGGGGGAAACCCUGAUGCAGCAACGCCGCGUGAGUGAUGAAGGCCUUCGGGUUGUAAAGCUCUGUCUUCGGGGACGAUAAUGACGGUACCCGAGGAGGAAGCCACGGCUAACUACGUGCCAGCAGCCGCGGUAAUACGUAGGUGGCAAGCGUUGUCCGGAUUUACUGGGCGUAAAGGGAGCGUAGGCGGAUAUUUAAGUGGGAUGUGAAAUCCCCGGGCUUAACCCGGGGGCUGCAUUCCAAACUGGAUAUCUAGAGUGCAGGAGAGGAAAGUGGAAUUCCUAGUGUAGCGGUGAAAUGCGUAGAGAUUAGGAAGAACACCAGUGGCGAAGGCGACUUUCUGGACUGUAACUGACGCUGAGGCUCGAAAGCGUGGGGAGCAAACAGGAUUAGAUACCCCCGUAGUCC
rnacentral:rRNA from 1 species